rnacentral:lncRNA from 1 species
UAGAAAAAAAAAUAACAAAAAAAUAAAAGAAUAAAUACCUUAAUAUAAUACCUAAUAUUUUUUCAAAAAACAAUCUAACAGCCCUUAAUUCAGGGAAUGAGAUCAUUUCUAUCAUGAUCUUCGUUAAUUAUUACUAUGAAAAGAUACAUCAAAGUAAAUAAAUAAUAAUCACUUGAAAAACACAAAAAUACUUCAAAUUAGUGUCUAAAAAAGAACUGAUCAUUUUCAACAUAUUAAAUUAAACAUAAAAAAAGACCAGAAAUCAGAGCAAAUAUCUUAUUAUAAUUAUAUAAGAGAGUUGAGAAAAACAAAUAUUCUUUAUGAAAACAUAGACUGACAUUGGAGAAUAAUUAGUAAAAUUUUCUUCAACGAAGGACAUUUCAGAUUUUGCUGGAAAUCAAGAAGCAUUGACUUAUGUGAUAUGUUACUUCAGAUGCAGCAAAAGAUCGAUCAUGGUCGCUUAUGGCGGAGAAUUCUAAUGGAGAUGGUACAACGAGCAAAAAUGAAAGUUGCUAGAAGAAACGUAAAUUUGUUUGUAUCGUUUGUGAUUUGGUAUGGGCAAGAAAAGAAAUGCUAUGGUCACACUUUGUACGAAACCAUACUUAACAUUAUUGUUACUUCUGCGAAUACUGUAGCAAAAAAUUCAAAAUCAAAAGUGAUCUUUCGACACAUACAAGACUAAAUUUAUCGAGAAUUACCAGUGAUAUGUGAUGUUUGUGGAAAAGUUUGUAAAAACAGUAGUUCGUAUAUUCAUCGGAAACAUGUUCAUUAUAAGGCAAUGUUUGAAUAUCCAAUGUGUCAUAGGUGAUUGGUCACCAAGGAGAACCUGGACCAACAUGUUUUGACUCAACACGAGAAAGAAGAAAAAUCGGUUUGUGAAGAAUGUAGAAAAACUUUGAAAAUUAUAAUCUUCGUGAACAAAGCUUGUACUACUCAUAGUAGUCUCAACCAACAUCUUCUCCUACAUACCAGCGAACGAAUUUUACACCUGUGACGUUUAUAGCAAGUCGUUCGCUCAACAAAAUCUUAUAUGCCACAGGAAGAUCUAUUCAGGAACUCUACUACCACUACAUAUUAUACAAAUCGAUCACAUCUUAAAAGAGUUCAUAAAGAAACGAAAUCGAUCGAAAUAUUCUUGUCUUGUAUUUCUUGAAUUCUCCUAAUUAAUAACAUUUUUCUAUUUUGUCAACGAAUUUAUUCAUUAUCAUAUUUAUAUAUUAUAUUUAAUUAUCAUAUUUUUAUAUAAUUUAAUCGUAAUUGCCUUUGUAGUUAGUAACACUUGUAAUAGUUUGAAAAUCUAUUCUUCGAAAGAAUGCGAUUUACAAACAUAAAAAGACAUGUUCAAGGAAACGUUUUAAUUAUUUUUGAUAUUUUUUUUAUCAUUAAUAAAAAUUCAUGCGUUAUCACGUCGUAUAAAGUCUUCUGCAUAAAAAUCAAAAACUUAUUAAAGAAACUCAUGAAGCCGAAUUUGGUAAUAUGAGUUUUUUUUCGCAUUAUGAUUCUUUUUCACAAGAAUAUACCAAUUCUUGCACAAAAACUAGGCGAUAACACAUCUACAAUGUAUUUUUCGAUAUAGAAUUUAUUCACACGUAACUUUAGCUAGAAACGUACACCUGCAUAAAUUAAAAAAAAAAAACAAAAAAAAGAGAAAUCUGACAAUCCCUAGUAUUAACGUAAUUAGAACAAAA